UAAUUUCUCAUAAUAGAACCAUGUAACAGUAACUGGCAGGGAAGCAUUUAAAGGACGGACGUGUUUGACAGGAAUAUCCCUUUAAGAAACCAGAGCUGUUCUGUCUCCUGACCGCCACUUCAUUCAUCCUCCUGAAGUGAAUCACAGCGUAAUGACAGACAUGGCCUCUGGGGGCAGCACGUCCCCCACUGCUGCUGCGCCUCGGCUCCUCCUGCUGCAGACCUGUGGAGGUUAAAGGUCACCUUCCUCAGCUCAUGAAGCAUCAGCAGCGACUCGGGGCGCUGACAUGUUGUGCAGGAUCACGGCUCGCCGCCCUGUCCUGUAAUCUGACUUCCUGGCUCCGAACGCAGCAGGACUGUUUGCCUGAUGAGCAGAAAUUACUCGCAGAUGUGAAACACGCUUACUCAUUUCUACCAAAUCAUGGAAAUUAUAUGUUCUCAAGGUAAACAUGGCUCUGAAGCGGGAUGGAAAAGUCAACGCUCUGGACUGUUCCUGGAUUGUUGGCGGACGUUUGGUUCUGACUCUCUGGUUCUGGGCUGACGUGGGAGAAAGCCCAGUCCUCUGGAGGGGAACUGACCACACCGGACCAGGCCGGACCAGAACCAGGACGUUUCCGUGUAGGAGGUGAUCCCAGGCAGGAUUCAUGGCAGCUGCUCUGCAGACGUUUCAGAGCAUCAGGAGUUCUCAUCAGAGAAAUCAUCUCUGCUCCAGUCUGAGAACCAGAACCGGUCCUGGAGGCAGUUUGGACCCAAAUCAUGCUACAGAAGAACAUCAUCAGAACCUGAUUCACCUGACAUGAAGUCAGCUGAUCAUCUGAGGAACCAGUGGAGAUGAUUCAUCACAAACUAACAGCGUUCGUCAGUUUAACACCUGGAUGCACAUCUGGGCCACAUCUGCUGCGCCUGUCGGCGUUCUGGACCCGAGGCGCCGAGCUGCAGGACGCGUCGCUCCAACACCGCUCUUCCACGUUCAGGGCCAAUCAGGACUCAGGAUUUAAAGAUGCUUCUUAUUGUUGCUGUUGUUUCUGAAAGCUUAAGAGGAAAUCAGGACCAAACGAGACCCAGAUGAGCUCAGGCCGAUGACGCCUCCGCUCUGUGGGAAACUGUUUAUAUUUUGCUUUUUCACACGUUUAGGUCAUCAAACAAGUUUUAUUACCCGAUAAAAAGUUAAAGAAAGUCGUUUUAAGCAGAUUUAGCUUGAGACCUGCUCAGCCUGAUGGCGACGGCGCUGCAGUAACGAGGCCUUGGAGGUGGUUUAAUGUUUCAGGACGAUGGGUGACCUCGUGACCUCUGGCACACUUCCUUAGCCUGACUCUGAAUCCAAUCAGGAAGUCAGUCCCGUUCAGUCCUGGACCGAUCCGAAGCUCUCAGGUGAAACUGGUUCCAAAAACACAGAGCAGAAAACUGAAGUUCCAAAUUCAAGUUUUACUAAAAGUAAAAAUACAAUGAAUCGUCUGCUGCGUGAGAACAAGGAGGAGGAGGAGGAGGAGGAGGAGGAAGUCCUAAUAUGUCCUCAGAAAUACAAGCUUUCCAAUAACUGGGCCACCUGGUGGAGGGGCGGGGCGACGCCACCUGGCGGCGGAGCGACGCGACUGUCUGCUCGUCCUGCUUCGUGUUGCCACUCGGAUCCCCAACAACAAAAACUAUUGAGGAAGUUUAAUUAAUGAAUAUCAGUUUCAGAAACUCAAACAAUUUUUUUUCCAGAAAUUUGAUUAAUUAAACUUAAAACUGAAGCAAUUUAUGACCUUAUGAAGAUAUUUAAAGUGUGAUACUUAUUAUUAUUCCCUUGGUUUGUGGUCCAGAUUAACCCCAACAUAUAAACAACGUUUUGCUACAAUCUGCUUUGCCUUGAGAGCGGCCUUCCAUCUGAGCCGAGUUUAGAAAGUUUAUAAAUAUAAUAAAAUGUUUUAUUCAGAACAUAAUCAGAAAAUCUCAGGCAGCGUUUCCUGAGCUUCAGCUUCACUUCGUAUUCAGGUGCAGCUUCCAGCGUCUGAACGUCCAGAUGGUUUCACCGCCGCAGGAAAUGAAGAGGCAGCCUUCAUCCUGCUCCUCUUCCUCACAGCCUCCAUUCUCCUCUUCCUCACUGGACCUGUGGCUGGUUCACAGGACUUUGACUAGGCAGGAAGUUGAACCUCAGGAAGUUCAGAGGUGACGAUUCGUCUCGAUCCAGAAUCAGUAAACCUGAAGCUGGAAGCUUCGGUUCUUCUUCCUGUUUGCACUAUUAAAAAUGGAAACAUAAAUCCGUUGAACUCAUCCUGAGGAAACCAAAGUUCACUCAGGGAUUUUAGGGAAAAUAAAAACAUUUAGUGACGGACGGUUAAAUGAUUUCUGAGACAUCAUUUGAUGGAAACCAAAUCAGAGAGAUCCCUGAGAACGGCAGCGACUCCAUUCCAACCAACAUUUAAUUUGCCGAUCUCAUCCCGUUUAUCUCAAUACAUAAAAUAAAUAAUAAUCAGGACAAAAUGUGACGUUAAAAUCUCAGUUUUCACCUAAAAGACAUUUUAACGUAUUGUUUUCUGAAGAUGCUGGUCUGUUUUUAUAUAUUAAUAUCACUAACACAAAAAACUGAGAAAUGUUUGAUUGCUCUGUUUUCCCUAAAAUAAUUUAUUUUUUACUGUUUUCUAAAGAUUUUAACUUUUUUAUUUGAAGUUUAAACCUGGACUUCUUCACAACAAGGAAAAAGAUUACCGUAUUUUUCAGACUAUAAGCCAUUAUCUCUUUCCCACGUUAUAAGCCGGGCUAAAAGCUGCACCGGUGCUUAUAGUCCAGAAAAUACGGUACAAGGAUCUGUUGGCACUUCCAAGAUAUAUUUUACUCUGAAGUUUCUGUUUUAAUCUGAAAUAGUAAUUUCAUUUAUUUACCUGGAACUUCUUUUAAAAAUGGUAAAACAACUUUUAGUACGUCGACCUCAGUGAGUUUUACUGAGCUCUGGUAAAACGCAUCCAAGAUGGCGUCGCUCCAAACGCAUCCAAGAUGGCGUCGCUCCAAACGCAUCCAAGAUGGCGUCGUUCCAAAGUUUGGUUGCGUCUCAUGGUUCAGCAGAACUUUAAUCAAAGGAGAAAAUUUGGCCCACAGCUGAUCGCCACGCAUCGACGGUUUGAUGCGUUGCUUAGCAACAGACGGGGCGAGCUCACCUUAAAUGUCUCAGGUAAAGUUAAACUGCAUCUCAUCAACAGUUAGCUGAAGAGUAAAACUGUGCAGAAGUUGACGACUGGCGUCAGACUUAAUAUUAAAAUGUUUAAAUAUUUAUAAGAUUAGAGGAUCAGUAAAUGAAUCUGUCUGUAGAUUAUUAUAACAAAUACAAACUUUCUGCAUCAA